rnacentral:rRNA from 1 species
AGAGUUUGAUCCUGGCUUAGGAUGAACGCUAGCUACAGGCUUAACACAUGCAAGUCGAGGGGCAGCAUGGGAGUUGCUUGCAAUUCCCGAUGGCGACCGGCGCACGGGUGAGUAACGCGUAUCCAACCUUCCCGUCACUCAGGGAUAGCCCGCCGAAAGGCGAAUUAAUACCUGAUGAUCUCCUUUGCGGACAUCUAAUGAGGAGUAAAGGUUUUUCCGGUGACGGAUGGGGAUGCGUCUGAUUAGGUUGUUGGCGGGGUAACGGCCCACCAAGCCAUCGAUCAGUAGGGGUUCUGAGAGGAAGGUCCCCCACAUUGGAACUGAGACACGGUCCAAACUCCUACGGGAGGCAGCAGUGAGGAAUAUUGGUCAAUGGGCGAGAGCCUGAACCAGCCAAGUAAGCGUGGAGGAUGACGGCCCUACGGGUUGUAAACUCCUUUUAUCAGGGGAUAAAGUGCCCUACGUGUAGGGUUUUGCAGGUACCUGAUGAAUAAGGACCGGCUAAUUCCGUGCCAGCCGCAGC